CAAAUGACUCUCGGCAACGGAUAUCUCGGCUCACGCAUCGAUGAAGAACGUAGCAAAAUGCGAUACUUGGUGUGAAUUGCAGAAUCCCGUGAACCAUCGAGUUUUUGAACGCAAGUUGCGCCCGAAGCCAUUCGGCCAAGGGCACGUCUGCCUGGGCGUCACGC
rnacentral:rRNA from 1 species